rnacentral:lncRNA from 1 species
AUGGCGUUUCUCAGCCUCCUGCUGCUCAGCACCGCUCUGAUCCACACAGCCCAGUCCUUGCCUGCAGGUCGUGGCGGGGGGCGUGGCCUGAAUGUGGACGGGGUCAGACGCCAGCGCAGAGACGUCCAUAACGUGAUACCUUAUGAGGAUCAGAUGAUGUCAUAUCCUGCCUCUCAAGGAGGGGGAGGAACUAAUAGCCCAUACUAUCAAUCAGAUGGCGAGAGGGGGCGUGGCCUAGAUCAAGCACUGCAACUGCUGGUGGAGAGAGACCAAAGGCGAGAGCUUAAAGAAGAGCAGCGAUCAGCCUACCUGUCUGCUCUGCUCCGCCUACUAAGUGAGGCAGAGAGAACGGACUUGGUUGGUCCGGAUGAUGUGCAGGUUAUUGAGGAGGAGCAGGAUGAAGAAGAGGAUCAGGGCCCAGCGCAGGUCUUCCAGGGCCAUGCUCUCCCAGACUAUGAGGAAACACCCGAAGCCAUGAUCAUGGGGAGGCCCCCAGGGGCCUGGUGGGGUCUUUUGGACCCCCAGGUGGUUCAGAGCCUGCUGGACAGGAUGGAGCCUCAGCUGGCUCACUCUCUGCUGGAGAGAGCAAGACUGGGGCGACUUCAGCAGAUGGGGCGGGUUUCAUCAGGACUAAAUCAAGAGGCUCUGAGACGUCUGGUUGUUCAGAUACUGUCCAACAUUGGCCCUAACAACACCCCAGUGAUGUCACCCGGUCGCAGAAUGAGAAGGGAUCUUUCAGUCACUGCAGCUCAGCCUGAUAGAUCCAUCCACAGGAGAGUCCGACGUUCCCUUGACGACAUUGCUCGACCAUUACCUAGCAACAACCCCCCCCUCCUCAGGGUGAAAAGGCUGGAGGAUGAGGAAGAUGAGGAGAAGCUUCCCCACUCUGUCACUGGUCUGCAGAGGAUGAAGCGUAUUGAUACCAUGGCAACAACCAGCAUGGAAAAACUGAAUAUUGGGAAUCAUUGGCGCAAGAGGAGAGCCCUGAAUUACGACCACCAUAUCUUGAUUGAUCAGAUUCUAGAUUAUAUGAGGGAGUGA